rnacentral:lncRNA from 1 species
GGGUAGAGGAGGCCUGCUACUCAUGGUGAAGGCAGCUAGCUCUAAACCUCCCUUAGUGAGGGAUGACCUGUGUGUAUGGAUUCAACAUGAAAGACUGAGGAGAUCCGUUAUCAAAAUGUACCAAAGAGUUGUACUGGGACGUGUGCCAGGCACUUGUGAUACAGCCAAUAGAGAGCAGACCAGGUAAGAGAAAGAACCUGGAUAGGUUUUAAAAUAAACCUGGUCCAAACUGCAUGGAUGGUCUCCUUGGAGAGCCAGAGAGAUGACUUCUAUUUACUGAUCAACUCUCGGCUUGUCCUUAAAGGGAGACCAGUGGUCAUAAAACUUAAAUAAAGUGCCUGGUGUCUGGAGAUAACUAAAAGACUUAAAUGAAGUGCUGGGCGUCUGAAGAGGACUAAAAGAAUAAACAUGGGGGAUGUGGGAGAAGUAUCACCUGGGAAGAUCAGGGAAGUCUCAAGAAGAGGAAGCAACUGUGAUAUUAAGGUGCUGGAGAGAUAUACUGGAAAAUGAAAGAAAACCAUCUGUUUUACUAGAUUUAAAGAUAGAUGUCUGAAAAAUAAAACUUUCCCAUUUUUUUCUCUUGCCAGCCUCUGUAAAUUUGUGCUUACUGAUAUCAAGCUAGGACUAUGCCUUUGUCUAAGUAUUAUUUUUUUCUUCCACUUAUUUGCAUGAUGGUUUAUUCUUGCAUUCUUUGAUAUGCAUGCAAAAGAACCCACCACAUCUUAGAGUUAAUUUUUAACCUAGUAUUUCAUGUGUUGAGCUUUACAACGUAGUUACAAAGGAAGGUCUAGUUUUCCAAUGCUUUUAUGAAUUCAUUUUGUCAUUCAUAGCUUUGAUUUAUCUUCAACUAAUUUUGUAGGGUCUGAGUUACUUGAUUCAACUUUCUCUCUCAGACUCAGGUCAUUCCUUUGUUUGAACAGCAUGUAUUAAAUAAAUAAUAUUUUCCCCAAUGAA